rnacentral:tRNA from 1 species
GGUCGGAAGUUCAAGUCUUCCCAGGCCCACCACACUCAUCGAGUGAGCAUUCGUCUUCUGGUUACGGGGCCAUAGCUCAGCUGGGAGAGCGCGUGCUUUGCAAGCAUGAGGUCGUCGGUUCGAUCCCGUCUGGCUCCACCAGAUGGUUUGAUCACCGAGAUCGUGCACCGUCGUCCGCGAAACAUCACUUCGCAUCCUGCUAGUCUGGAUAGACAGCAAGAUGCGUGUUUUCUGACAUCGUAAAGAGGAGAUCGAUCCGAGUUGGGUCGUGUAGCAGAUUGCUGCGCGGGCCUUCAUUAUCUCCGGAUCAUUUUCGGCGCUCGCGCGCCUUUCAAGUGUGGCUCACAAGGCUGCAUCUGAAGGGAAUGCGAGUUGUAAAAUGAUCCUUUUAGCGAAGCUUGACCGCCUCGCUAUCGGAACGAUCUUACGAAGCAAGCUGGUCUUUCUAAUCAUUGUCCGGCUGUACGUAGCGUUCAUCGAGGGCGCGUGCCGUAAGGCAAUCGUACAGACAACAUUCUGCCGAGUGUGUGGACAUUGAUAAUGAGAGC